rnacentral:rRNA from 1 species
AGUGAACGCUGGCGGUAGGCCUAACACAUGCAAGUCGAACGGCAGCACAGUAAGAGCUUGCUCUUACGGGUGGCGAGUGGCGGACGGGUGAGGAAUACAUCGGAAUCUACUUUUUCGUGGGGGAUAACGUAGGGAAACUUACGCUAAUACCGCAUACGACCUACGGGUGAAAGCAGGGGAUCUUCGGACCUUGCGCGAUUGAAUGAGCCGAUGUCGGAUUAGCUAGUUGGCGGGGUAAAGGCCCACCAAGGCGACGAUCCGUAGCUGGUCUGAGAGGAUGAUCGGCCACACUGGAACUGAGACACGGUCCAGACUCCUACGGGAGGCAGCAGUGGGGAAUAUUGGACAAUGGGCGCAAGCCUGAUCCAGUCAUACCGCGUGGGUGAAGGAGGCCUUCGGGUUGUAAAGCCCUUUUGUUGGGAAAGAAAAGCAGCAGGUUAAUACCCCGCUGUUCUGACGGUACCCAAAGAAUAAGCACCGGCUAACUUCGUG